CUAUCUCAUCCUUCUGGAAAGCAACCUUCUCCUUUUCAUAAUCAUUGGUCGGUGACCAUAAAAUCAUUACAAAACAAGGCUUUGGACUUUCCGUUUGGAUAAUCAUGCAUUUCUCCUCUUCAAAAUUUCUUUUGCCAUAUUCCUCAUUUUCAACUCCAACAAGUGAAACAGAACAAAAUCCACAAAUAUAAUUUCAAUUCCUUUGAGUAUCUUAUGCCUCAUUUUCAUUUUAAGGAGGAAAGCUGGUUCAUUUAGUUGAUGGUUUUAAGAUAUUAUGGGAAGCAAGAAUAAUACUCUAGUAUUGGCUUUACUGGUUGUUUUGAUUUUUGGAUGUCAUUGCUUUGGAAGGGGAUUGUGUGGAACAGUGAGUUAUGAUCAUAGAGCGCUGAUAAUUGAUGGGAAAAGGCGGGUCUUGCAGUCUGGUUCGAUACAUUAUCCUCGAACUACUCCUGAGGUGUGGCCGGACAUUAUUAGAAAGUCGAAGGAAGGGGGAUUGGACGUGAUUGAGACUUACGUGUUUUGGAACUAUCAUGAACCUGUGAGAGGACAGUACUAUUUUGAAGGCAGGUUUGACCUGGUGAGGUUUGUGAAAACAGUUCAGGAAGCUGGUCUUCUGGUUCAUUUGAGGAUUGGACCAUAUGCCUGUGCUGAAUGGAAUUAUGGGGGAUUUCCAAUUUGGUUACACUUCAUUCCUGGCAUUCAAUUUCGAACAACAAAUGAACCAUUUAAGGAGGAAAUGAAGCGUUUCCUUGGCAAAAUUGUAAAUUUAAUGAAGGAAGAGAAUCUCUUUGCAUCACAAGGUGGGCCAAUCAUUCUUGCUCAGGUUGAGAAUGAAUAUGGGAAUGUUCAAGGGGCAUAUGGAAUUGCAGGAGAGUUAUAUGUCAAAUGGGCUGCAGAAACUGCUGUUAGUCUGAAUACAAGUGUCCCUUGGGUGAUGUGCCAACAAAAAGACGCCCCUGAUCCAGUUGUAUGUAUACAUUUGAUGGAUAAACUUGUUUUGUUCCUUGGUAGCACAUUAAGAACAUCUUUACGACUACUUUGGAAUACGAGAAGUUUUUCAUUAGUUUUUCUUCUUAAGUGGAAAAUUUAGUUAUUUAUUCUCUCAUCUCUCUAAUAGUUUGAAAGGUGUCAUUAGUCAUCUAUAAUGAGGAUUUACAUGCAGAUAAACACUUGUAAUGGAUUCUACUGUCAUCAGUUUACCCCAAAUUCUCCUUCCAAACCAAAAAUAUGGACUGAGAACUAUAGUGGAUGGUUUCUUUCAUUUGGUUAUGCAAUUCCCUAUCGACCUGUUGAGGACCUUGCAUUUGCUGUUGCACGUUUUUUUGAAUAUGGCGGUACUUUUCAAAACUACUAUAUG
rnacentral:misc_RNA from 1 species